UACGGGGGGGCAAGCGUUGUUCGGAAUUACUGGGCGUAAAGGGCUCGUAGGUGGCCAACUAAGUCAGACGUGAAAUCCCUCGGCUUAACCGGGGAACUGCGUCUGAUACUGGAUGGCUUGAGUUUGGGAGAGGGAUGCGGAAUUCCAGGUGUAGCGGUGAAAUGCGUAGAUAUCUGGAGGAACACCGGUGGCGAAGGCGGCAUCCUGGACCAACACUGACGCUGAGGAGCGAAAGCCAGGGGAGCAAACGGG
rnacentral:rRNA from 1 species